UUCACAAUCUCACUGCUUCAAUUCAAGGACGACGAAAAGAAGAGGCACGUUAGAAUUUGAUUCGAUCGUCGUCCCAAAUUCAACCGAACUCCCAGAAGCAGAAGGAAUAGAACGCAAAUGGCAAAUCAUAAUUUUUCAUCUUCUUCCCUGCUCAGAAUUCUAAUUCUUCUACUAGUAUUCUUGCUCUUCUCUCCCAUCAAUACAAAUGCCAAGUCUCGUCGCCCAAUCUCUGAUAUUGAGACCAGGCAGAAGAAGAGCCAGUGUUAUGCUGACAUUGAGAGCGGAUUGUGGGGCUGGCAAUGCAAGUCUUCUUUGAUAGCAAAACAAAAUUGUGCUUUGCGAUGCCUUGCUCCAGCUUGCUAUGAGCUUAUCUACUGAGAGCGAUCCGCUUGAAGAAGGUGAAAAAGAUAUGUUUAGGGGGCAAGAGUUCAAGUACUGUAUGCAUAAGUUAUCUUUGGGGGAGAGCCUCGAGGGUAUUAAGGGUUCAUUUAAUUAUUAAAUAGAUGGCAAUGUUGCUUGUAGAAUAAGUUCAUAUGAAGCCAUGGAUUUCUUCUUCACUGGAAAAAGAAGAGAGAAGGUAAAACAGAAGUCGGACUUCAUUUUCGAGUCAUCUCUUGGUUGUCUCCCCUUGCAUCUAGUGCCAUCUUCUGCAAGUUGAGCUGCAAACCAGGUUCAGGAUGUCCAGAAGGCUCAUGUUCUCUUUCAUCGACGUGGAAAUUAUCUGUAAGAUUUCGAGUUUACCAAAUGAGAUGAGAAUGUUUUUCUUUAACUUGCUUGAUAGUACUGUAAGUUGAACCAGCAUCAAUUAGUGUACCAUCAUCAA